UUGUGUUCGCAGCCGCCGCCGCGCCGCCGUCGCUCUCCAACGCCAGCGCCGCCUCUCGCUCGCCGAGCUCCAGCCGAAGGAGAAGGGGGGUAAGUAAGGAGGUCUCUAUACCAUGGCUCGU